rnacentral:antisense_RNA from 1 species
CCGCUCCCGCGUCAUCGGCGAACACACGAGGCCGCGCGCAUGCGUGACCAUGAAAUUCACCGAUUCGGGCGUGAUCUUCUCGGCCGCCAUGAUCA